rnacentral:rRNA from 1 species
CUUACACAUGCAAGUCGAACGAUGAAGCCCAGCUUGCUGGGUGGAUUAGUGGCGAACGGGUGAGUAACACGUGAGUAACCUGCCCUUAACUCUGGGAUAAGCCUGGGAAACUGGGUCUAAUACCGGAUAGGAGCGUCUACCGCAUGGUGGGUGUUGGAAAGAUUUAUCGGUUUUGGAUGGACUCGCGGCCUAUCAGCUUGUUGGUGAGGUAAUGGCUCACCAAGGCGACGACGGGUAGCCGGCCUGAGAGGGUGACCGGCCACACUGGGACUGAGACACGGCCCAGACUCCUACGGGAGGCAGCAGUGGGGAAUAUUGCACAAUGGGCGAAAGCCUGAUGCAGCGACGCCGCGUGAGGGAUGACGGCCUUCGGGUUGUAAACCUCUUUCAGUAGGGAAGAAGCGAAAGUGACGGUACCUGCAGAAGAAGCACCGGCUAACUACGUGCCAGCAGCCGCGGUAAUACGUAGGGUGCGAGCGUUAUCCGGAAUUAUUGGGCGUAAAGAGCUCGUAGGCGGUUUGUCGCGUCUGUCGUGAAAGUCCGGGGCUUAACCCCGGAUCUGCGGUGGGUACGGGCAGACUAGAGUGCAGUAGGGGAGACUGGAAUUCCUGGUGUAGCGGUGGAAUGCGCAGAUAUCAGGAGGAACACCGAUGGCGAAGGCAGGUCUCUGGGCUGUAACUGACGCUGAGGAGCG